rnacentral:rRNA from 1 species
UACGGGGGGAGCAAGCGUUGUUCGGAUUUACUGGGCGUAAAGGGCGCGUAGGCGGUCAGCACAAGUCAGUUGUGAAAUCUCCGGGCUUAACUCGGAAAGGUCAACUGAUACUGUGCGACUAGAGUGCAGAAGGGGCAACUGGAAUUCUCGGUGUAGCGGUGAAAUGCCUAGAUAUCGAGAGGAACACCUGCGGCGAAGGCGGGUUGCUGGGCUGACACUGACGCUGAUGCGCGAAAGCCAGGGGAGCGAACGGG